AGAAUGAGUGACGGGAAGUUCCCGAAGAGUAUCUGGAGGCACAAGUGGGUGUUACCGGUUAUACUGAGCUUCACCGCUGUUUAUCACGUCAUCUGUGUGCAGAUAAUGGUCAGGGAAGCCGAGUUCGAAACAACAACGAAUUUCAGUGGCGGCACCCACGAGGAGGAGCUCGCGAAAUUUAUCAGUGCUCAGGAUAAAAAACAAUAGGAUCCAGAACCUGAUGACGUCACGUCUCGGGACUAUGACGUCACGUGCCGGGACUAUGACGUCACAAAGAGUUGUUUUGGACAGAAGUCAGAAGCUGAAGGGUUGAAGUAUGUAGUAGAGAUUGUAGAAAGACAGAAUGUACAGUGGCAAAAUGUGGUAAACUUAUAAAAUCAUUUAAAUCAUUGAUUCUUUGAUUAAUAUGUUAGUAGCUACUAGGAAAUACCUAUCGAGUGUGAAUCUGAGAUUUGAUAAUGAUGGUCGAAAGAGAACGUUGCUUAAAUAUUCUGUUUUGUUAAUUGGAUAUUGUUUCUGCGUAAAGUUAAAGUUUUACGAAUGUUGACUUAUUGACUUUGUUAUGGAGAGUUUUGGAAAAAAUAAAGGUGUAAACUGUAAGGAUUAAUUGUAUCAAUGAAAAUCCCAGCUCUGAGUUUACCAGUUUCUUGUCUAGUGGAAAAAUUGUAUUGGGACAAAAAGUGCUUCAGGGAAUUAUCAAUUAACAAGGCCGGAAAAAUGUGGCCGCCCAAUAUUUGGGUAAUUUUCCGCCCUAAAUUUCGGGCGAAACUCUUUUUAAUGGGAAAACAGUUAUUCCGGAAAACAUAAGGCCAAUUAACGAGGUACAGUGUGUUGUCUUAAGUUUGUAACUAGUCAAAGUUAGUGAUUUCACUAAUUUUAUUAUUUAACUAUUGAUGAUUUUCAUACAUUUUACUUGGGAUUUGGCUUCUGCAUGGUGGUUUUAAAGCUAUUUUAAAAAUCCCCUUAAUCAUUUUGUUAUCUUUAAAAAGCUUUUGUUUUAUUGGAAAUUACGGAAAGGUUCCGAAAUAUCAUGGAUUUUUUCGACACAGAUUUCUUGAUCAAAUUUGUUGACUGAUAAUCCUUGAGAUGUUCAUGAUUUAUGAGGUCUACUUCAAGUUACAAGUUCGAACAACUCCAUGCUUUACAACAAAAACUACACUUGCUUUACAAUAUA